rnacentral:rRNA from 1 species
UGGGGAAUAUUGGACAAUGGGCGAAAGCCUGAUCCAGCAAUGCCGCGUGAGUGAUGAAGGCCCUAGGGUUGUAAAGCUCUUUUACCCGGGAAGAUAAUGACUGUACCGGGAGAAUAAGCCCGGCUAAGCUCCGUGCCAGCAGCCGCGGUAAUACGGAGGGGCGUAGCGUUGUUCGGAAUUACUGGGCGUAAAGCGCACGUAGGCGGCUUUGUAAGUCAGAGGUGAAAGCCUGGAGCUCAACUCCAGAACUGCCUUUGAGACUGCAUCGCUUGAAUCCAGGAGAGGUCAGUGGAAUUCCGAGUGUAGAGGUGAAAUUCGUAGAUAUUCGGAAGAACACCAGUGGCGAAGGCGGCUGACUGGACUUGGUAUUGACGCUGAGGUGCGAAAGCGUGGGGAGCAAAACA